UUUUUACUCAUUUUACCCUAACCCGAUGAAGGUGAUGAUGGCGACGACUCCGACAACCAGAAUGGCAGCGAUGGCGUGGCGCUAGGGUUUCAGUUUGAGGGUUUUGAAACCAGGUCGUGAAGGUGUUGAGGACGUCUGCAAUCUGGUUGUCCAGAUUGGGGGUUUUGAAACACACAGCCGGAAUUAACAGUUCAUGACUCAGUCGUAGGUCACCGCCAUCACAGACCGUUCCACCGUUUCGAGUCCGCUGCUGUAUCCCAAGAUCCAACGCUGGUUUGAGCUAGAUUUCAAAGGCUCCGAUGAUUCGAAGAUCGUGCAUCAGAGCUAUAAAAACGCUACCAAUCCAUCUCCGUCGUAUGUGCUUCUUCUGCACCCUCCAAACACAAACACUCUUGUAGACUACAUGCCAAUGCUCUAAGGCUAUCCUCUGCUACCUUACCUCAUUUCUUCCCUCUUCCAGUACUUCUCUCUAGUUUUGGAUGGACUGAAGUAUGCAAAUUCACAUGAAUGAGUGAAGCAUGAAGGCUCUGUUGCUACUAUUGAUAUUACUAAACAUGCUUAGAACUGGGUUCGUGUAGGCUAGGCAACCUCUGCACUCUUUUGGCUCAUGGAAAAUUUAGAAUGAACUGAUAUACAAGCAUAACAAAGAAGAACGAAUCGCCAGGACAUAGGACAUGGGGAACCAUUGCUCCCGGAUUACCUUAUGUUGGAGAAGCAAUAACGCCAGCUGGCAACUGGCUUAUUGGUCGAGAUCCAG
rnacentral:lncRNA from 1 species